rnacentral:rRNA from 1 species
CCUACGGGAGGCAGCAGUGGGGAAUAUUGCACAAUGGGGGAAACCCUGAUGCAGCGACGCCGCGUGAGUGAAGAAGUAUUUCGGUAUGUAAAGCUCUAUCAGCAGGGAAGAAAAUGACGUUACCUGAUUAAGAAGCCCCGGCUAACUACGUGCCAGCAGCCGCGGUAAUCCGUAGGGGGCAAGCGUUAUCCGGAUUUACUGGGUGUAAAGGGUGCGUAGGCGGCAGGUCAAGUCAGGAGGGAAAGGUCGGGGGUCAACCCAGGAACUGCAUUUGCAACUGUGCAGCUAGAGUGCAGGAGAGGUAAGUGGAAUUCCUAGUGUAGCGGUGAAAUGCGGAGAUAUUAGGAGGAACACCAGUGGCGAAGGCGGCUUACUGGACUGUAACUGACGUUGAGGCACGAAAGCGUGGGGAGCAAACAGGAUUAGAUACCCGAGUAGUC